rnacentral:rRNA from 1 species
AUUGAACGCUGGCGGCAGGCCUAACACAUGCAAGUCGAGCGGAUGAAGGGAGCUUGCUCCUGGAUUCAGCGGCGGACGGGUGAGUAAUGCCUAGGAAUCUGCCUGGUAGUGGGGGAUAACGUCCGGAAACGGGCGCUAAUACCGCAUACGUCCUGAGGGAGAAAGUGGGGGAUCUUCGGACCUCACGCUAUCAGAUGAGCCUAGGUCGGAUUAGCUAGUUGGUGGGGUAAAGGCCUACCAAGGCGACGAUCCGUAACUGGUCUGAGAGGAUGAUCAGUCAACCUGGAACUGGGAAACCGUCCCAGCUCCUUAGGGGAGCAACAGUGGGGAAAUAUGGACAAUGGGGGGAAGGCUUGUCCAAGCAAUGCGGGUGGUGGAAAGAGGUCUUCGGAUUGGAAAGGACUUUAAGUUGGGAGGAAGGGCAGUAAGUCAAUACCUUGCUGUUUUGACGUUACCAACAGAAUAAGCACCGGCUAACUUCGUG